GGAGGCAGCAGUGAGGAAUAUUGCGCAAUGGGGGAAACCCUGACGCAGCGACGCCGCGUGGAUGAUGAAGGCCUUCGGGUCGUAAAAUCCUGUCAGAUGGGAAGAAGUGUAUAUURCCUAAUACGUGAUAUAUUUGACGGUACCAUCAAAGGAAGCACCGGCUAACUCCGUGCCAGCAGCCGCGGUAAUACGGAGGGUGCAAGCGUUGUUCGGAAUUACUGGGCGUAAAGCGCGCGUAGGCGGCUUGUUAAGUCAGAUGUGAAAGUCCACGGCUCAACCGUGGAAGUGCAUAUGAAACUGGCAGGCUUGAGUAUUGGAGGGGGUAGUGGAAUUCCCGGUGUAGAGGUGAAAUUCGUAGAUAUCGGGAGGAAUACCGGUGGCGAAGGCGACUACCUGGCCAAAUACUGACGCCUAGGUGCGAAAGCGUGGGGAGCAAACAGGAUUAGAUACCCUGGUAGUCCACGCCGUAAACGAUGUGAACUAGGUGUUGGGAUGGUUAAUCGUCUCAUUGCCGCAGCUAACGCAUUAAGUUCACCGCCUGGGGAGUACGGGUCGCAAGAUUAAAACUCAAAGGA
rnacentral:rRNA from 1 species